AGUCGAGCGGGCGUAGCAAUACGUCAGCGGCAGACGGGUGAGUAACGCGUGGGAACGUACCUUUUGGUUCGGAACAACACAGGGAAACUUGUGCUAAUACCGGAUAAGCCCUUACGGGGAAAGAUUUAUCGCCGAAAGAUCGGCCCGCGUCUGAUUAGCUAGUUGGUGAGGUAAUGGCUCACCAAGGCGACGAUCAGUAGCUGGUCUGAGAGGAUGAUCAGCCACAUUGGGACUGAGACACGGCCCAAACUCCUACGGGAGGCAGCAGUGGGGAAUAUUGGACAAUGGGGGCAACCCUGAUCCAGCCAUGCCGCGUGAGUGAUGAAGGCCCUAGGGUUGUAAAGCUCUUUUGUGCGGGAAGAUAAUGACGGUACCGCAAGAAUAAGCCCCGGCUAACUUCGUGCCAGCAGCCGCGGUAAUACGAAGGGGGCUAGCGUUGCUCGGAAUCACUGGGCGUAAAGGGUGCGUAGGCGGGUCUUUAAGUCAGGGGUGAAAUCCUGGAGCUCAACUCCAGAACUGCCUUUGAUACUGAGGAUCUUGAGUUCGGGAGAGGUGAGUGGAACUGCGAGUGUAGAGGUGAAAUUCGUAGAUAUUCGCAAGAACACCAGUGGCGAAGGCGGCU
rnacentral:rRNA from 1 species